rnacentral:lncRNA from 1 species
AUUUGGCGGGAUCUGUGUCUCUCGCUGGUGCUGGCACAGGAGCUUGGGAUCUGUCUCCUCUUUCGCCUCCUGCACCUUGAGAGCCCUGGGCUACUCUGUCACAGCCCCUGUUGCCCUGCGAUCUGUAGGUCCUUGGGGACGCAUAGUUAAGGUGCCAGGACAUCCUGGAAGCUGGGAAAUGAUAUGUAUUCAUUUCCUACCACCGUAGUGGAAGAGAGAUUUUCCCUAUCUUUACAACUGAUAGCAUUUCCAACAGUAAGCUGUGAGAUUCUGCUUGAAAUCACCUCUCAAACAAAUAAAAAACAGACCUGGGAGACAUGCUACACUCAUUCUGCUGAGGAAAUAGGCAUCAUAGCUGGGAAACGGAUUCACAAGACCCAGGCUGUUCCCUACAUAUGUUUCCUCCUCCGACAUCAGUUCAUCAGUCAAUCAAGCCAUGUGAGAGUGGAGGCCUUGUAUUCCCUAUUAUUCUUGGGCACUCUACUCCAAGUAGGAAAAGGCCAGGAGGUCCUGUUAAAGGAUGCACUCAGAGCCCGGGCUCCCUAACAUAUGAGAGUGCUAACCAGCAGGUGUAGACUUUUCAGGAGUGAAGAAUGAGGCAGGCAUUCCAAACCUGGACCUUCAUCACCUUUUGUUUCAUCUCAAGACAAUUCUGAGGGACUGUUUUGGAGCGUGUCUGGAAGGUGAACCUUGAAGAAGAGUGUGGGCUUUGAUGUGACUCAGUUGAGAUCUUUCAUGGGGAGGCAGGAAUUCAAUGCCCAGAAUCUGGGCUGGUGUCUUUGAGGUCAGUAGGUUGCGUCUUUGUAUCCAAGUCCAUUGUUACUAGGUUGGAGGCUGGAGAUUCUAAAUGGCUUCCAGACCAUCUCUCUGAUUCUCUUUGGGAGAUGGGGUCUGAAAGACAAUGUCAGUAGUUUUGGGAAAUUCUAGAAAGUGUGCUUGGAAACGUGGGAAGAGCUCUUGCCUAGUGCCUAAAUGCUCCAUUUGCAGCUCUAGCCAAGUAGAUACUUGGUAGGUAUAGAGCCGGGUUUGCGUUUAUAUCAGCAAAACCUAUGUCAGAGUUGAAGAAGUAGUCAGGAAAAAGCGUCUUGGUCGCAGGCCGGGGAACAUCUUAAAAGCAAACUUCUAGCCUGCUGACUCUUGGCAAUGAGUGUUGGAUCCUGGCUAAAGUGCCUUGAAUGCAGCAUGAGGCCAAUCCAUGAAUCCAACUUCUCAUGGAGAAAUGUUAAUAUUUUUUCAGUUUGAAUCAAUCAGGGUGAAACUACCAUGCUAUUGGUUUGCUUACUUUUUAUUAUUUCAUGUAAAAUCUAAGACAAAAUACAUUAAAUGCUUAUUGACAUAUGUAUUUAUUCUUCACCAGGCUGAUAAUAUCUGCCUAAUUUUAAACUUUCUUCCAUUUUGUAGGUUUCAACUUAUUCUAUUGUAAGAUACUGUUAAAUCUAAUAGAGGCAUUGUCACUUUUACGUAUAAUUUUAUUUUAUUUCAUAUAUUUCCUAUUGGCUUUUUACAUUUAAAUUAUGGAGCACUUCAUCAUAUAAAAAACUUCAAUUAUAUUUAAACAGUAAGUCUUUGGAUUUUUUUGCCUUGUAAUUUCCAUAUUACAUAAUAAUGAGAUAAACAUUAAUGUUUUCAGGGUACUUUAAAUUUUAGAUAAUUACUCAUUGUAUUCAUGUGAAAUUUGUUUUUACUGCAUGUGUGGGUUGGAGGACUGUUUUCACUUCUGAUUCAUCUUUACUCUUAUCUCAUCAGAGCUCAUACCUCUUGUAGUUGGGGGAUUGCAGUUUAUAAUUCCAAUAAAUGGGGCAAAUUCAAUAAUAACAUAAUACAAAUGAGUUUGAAUGCAGGACAGGUCUUCAAAGCAUACACAACAUGGGCCUACAUAUGUACAACAAUAAUAAUUUAUAAGUUACUGUUUGGAUGGAAAGUAAAAGUACAGAAAAUUUGUUAAAGGAAAUUAAAAUGGAGAUCAUGUCUCAAUAAUCUCUGAGCAGACAAAAUUAGUUAGGUCUCAUAAGUGAUCUCAACCUCGCUUGAUUUGCAAAUACAAACAAAACUUAAAUUAUUUCUUGUAGCUGCAUAUUGAAAAAAGAGAAAUGAAGCUCAACCAGUCAGAAGUAGCCAACAACCUUAUAUAAAUAGAAACUGUCCAACAAGGUAAACAGACAAACAAAAAACAAUAAAAAAAGUUGUGCUACCACCAAAUGAUUUCUUUGUUUCUACAUUUUUCAAAUAAAUACUUGCUUCUUACACUGUCAAUGAAGCACUCAAUAUCUUUCCGUCUGAUAUUUUAUAAUUUAUCAAUUGCUCUUACUCAAAUAAACACUUUGCAAUUUCA